CCUUCCACGCUCACCAUCGCUACCUCCAUGUCCCUUUCUCAAUGAAGCCAGCCUCAAGAAACCACCAGCAACGAUAGAGAACUCGCUGCCCUGCUCUGCAAGAGACAACAACAAAGAAAAAACAAGCGGAAGAGGUUGCUGCUGGAAUCGUCAGGUUCCACAAAGAGAAAGUUACUUGAAGAUGGGUAAGCUGUGAAAAUUUGCUACAACACUCUUUGAUGAACUUUGAAACCAAAUACUGCUAUUAAAUUCUCUAUUUUAAUCAUGGGUGUGGCUGACUUGACCAGCAUUUAUUGCCCGUCGCUAGUUGCCUUUGAGGAGUUGGUGGUGAGCUGUCUUCUUGAACCACUGAAAUCCAUUUGCUGUAAGUUGACCCAAAUGUCCUUUGGAAGGGAAUUACUGGAAAUUCAACUCGCGACAGUGAAGGAGUUGUGACAUAUUUCCAAGUCAAGAUGGGGUGGCUUUUAAAACUUUGGUUGUACUUCAGCCCCACCCGCCUGACCUACGGGCACACAGUGUGGAAGAGGGGCGGUGGCUGACAAGAAGGAGGGUUUCCUCAUGUUCCUGCUCUUGCCCUUAGCCAAAAGACAUCAACAAGUCCUAAUGAAAGGUUCCGACCUGAACCACCAACUCCCCAUCUCCUCUGAUGCUGCCUGACCUGCUGUGCUUUUCCCAGCUCCAUCUUUAUCCACUGCGACUCUCCAUCAUCUGCAGUUCUCAUUAUCUCCAUCAACAGGUCCAAGCAGUGGCCAGGGAUUGAGUCAAAAUACCCCACAUCUACCCAUAGUUCACAGUUACAUCCACACUUGUGUGUCCAUUGAGAUGCAAUAUUCACUGACCUCUAGUGAUUGGUGGACACCACAGGAGCUGAAGCGCAUUAUUGCCUUAAUAAAGAUAUUUUGGGUUAGUUUUGAUAAGCAAACAUUGCAGUUCAGUGAGUUUCUGCUUGGCUUUUGUUUUUUGUUCCUGUGCACCAGCAGGGACUCUCUAACCUGUUGAAGUUUUAUUUUUAAGAGUUGAUCAUCAACU